GAGGCCAAUGAUGUGCAGUAGAUACUUUGCCUACAUUGGUUGAACUAUUUCCAUGAUAUGAAUCUGCUAUUCUACUGAGGCCAUC